rnacentral:rRNA from 1 species
UCCUACGGGGGGCAGCAGUUAGGAAUAUUCGUCAAUGGGGGAAACCCUGAACGAGCAAUGCCGCGUGAGUGAUGAAGGCCCUAUGGGUUGUAAAACUCUGUUGUAAAGGAAGAACGGAUGGCAUAGGGAAUGAUGCCAUUGUGACGGUACUUGACGAGGAAGUCACGGCUAACUACGUGCCAGCAGCCGCGGUAAUACGUAGGUGGCGAGCGUUAUCCGGAAUUAUUGGGCGUAAAGGGUGCGCAGGCGGCAAGAAAAGCUUAAGGUGAAAGCGUGGGGCUCAACCCCAUAAAGCCUUAGGAACU